AGUGAACGCUGGCGGUAGGCCUAACACAUGCCAGUCGAACGGCAGCACAGUAAGAGCUUGCUCUUACGGGUGGCGAGUGGCGGACGGGUGAGGAAUACAUCGGAAUCUACUUUUUCGUGGGGGAUAACGUAGGGAAACUUACGCUAAUACCGCAUACGACCUACGGGUGAAAGCAGGGGAUCUUCGGACCUUGCGCGAUUGAAUGAGCCGCUGUCGGAUUAGCUAGUUGGCGGGGUAAAGGCCCACCAAGGCGACGAUCCGUAGCUGGUCUGAGAGGAUGAUCGGCCACACUGGAACUGAGACACGGUCCAGACUCCUACGGGAGGCAGCAGUGGGGAAUAUUGGACAAUGGGCGCAAGCCUGAUCCAGCCAUACCGCGUGGGUGAAGAAGGCCUUCGGGUUGUAAAGCCCUUUUGUUGGGAAAGAAAAGCAGCAGGUUAAUACCCCGCUGUUCUGACGGUACCCAAAGAAUAAGCACCGGCUAACUUCGUG
rnacentral:rRNA from 1 species